rnacentral:rRNA from 1 species
AGCGAACAGACGAGGAGCUUGCUCCUCUGACGUUAGCGGCGGACGGGUGAGUAACACGUGGAUAACCUACCUAUAAGACUGGGAUAACUUCGGGAAACCGGAGCUAAUACCGGAUAAUAUAUUGAACCGCAUGGUUCAAUAGUGAAAGACGGUUUUGCUGUCACUUAUAGAUGGAUCCGCGCCGCAUUAGCUAGUUGGUAAGGUAACGGCUUACCAAGGCAACGAUGCGUAGCCGACCUGAGAGGGUGAUCGGCCACACUGGAACUGAGACACGGUCCAGACUCCUACGGGAGGCAGCAGUAGGGAAUCUUCCGCAAUGGGCGAAAGCCUGACGGAGCAACGCCGCGUGAGUGAUGAAGGUCUUCGGAUCGUAAAACUCUGUUAUUAGGGAAGAACAAAUGUGUAAGUAACUAUGCACGUCUUGACGGUACCUAAUC